GUGUACUGCAAAUGCUUUGGAAAGAGAUAAGCAAAAAGACAUGCUAUCUUUCCUAAACUGGUUCCAGAAAAAUUUGGCACAGACCUUGGAGACUAUUAAAGAGUCCUAAAACAGGGAAUCUACUACACAGGAAGUAAAGCAGAGAAUUAAGAAAAGGAGAAGAUCAUCCUCUGUAUCUGAGACGUCUUCCGGAGAAUGUUCUUCCUCUAUAGAUUCAGAUUGGUUGGGCUCCUCCUC